rnacentral:rRNA from 1 species
UACGUGAAACCGUUUAGGGGUAAACCUGAGAAACCCGAAAGGUCGAAGGGAGAAAUUCAUUCGCGUUCGUCGCAGGCGUCGGGCGGGGUCGAGUGACGGAAAGCGUUCGCGCUUUUCGCGCCAUCCGCUCGUCGAACCGGUAACGAACGCGUGCACUUUUCUCCUGGUAGGACGUCGCGAUCCGUUGGGUGUCGGUCUACGGCUCGCGGUGGAGCCCGUUCGUACGUCUCGCGACGUACGGGCGGACCCGCGUGUCCCGGCUGACUCGCUCGACGGUAUAAGAAAGGUUUAAGGCCGCUCUCUCGGAGCGUUCGACUCGCGGCAAGCGCGCCAGAUGCGUCGGCGAUCGGACCCGGUGCCGAUUCUGACCUCUGGUGACUGUUGGCCGCGAAGUUCUCGAACAGACCUUCUCUCGAAAACCGAUCUGCGACGCUAUAGCUUUGGGUACUUUCAGGACCCGUCUUGAAACACGGACCAAGGAGUCUAGCAUGUGCGCGAGUCAUUGGGAAUAACUAAACCUAAAGGCGCAAUGAAAGUAAAGGUCCCCCUCGCGGGGACUGAGGGAAGACGGGCGGUUUUCACCCUUAAAAGUGGCCGCUCCGCACUCCCGGGGCGUCUCGUUCUCAUCGCGAGAAGAGGCGCACCAAGAGCGUACACGCUGGGACCCGAAAGAUGGUGAACUAUGCCUGGUCAGGACGAAGUCAGGGGAAACCCUGAUGGAGGUCCGUAGCGAUUCUGACGUGCAAAUCGAUCGUCGG